rnacentral:rRNA from 1 species
AUUGAACGCUGGCGGCAUGCCUUACACAUGCAAGUCGAACGGCAGCACGGACUUCGGUCCGGUGGCGAGUGGCGAACGGGUGAGUAAUACAUCGGAACGUGCCCAGUAAUGGGGGAUAACGCAGCGAAAGCUGUGCUAAUACCGCAUACGACCUGAGGGCGAAAGUGGGGGAACGAAAUACCUCAUGUUAUUGGAGCGGCCGAUGGCUGAUUAGCUAGUUGGUGAGGUAAAGGCACACCAAGGCGACGAUCAGUAGCUGGUCUGAGAGGACGACCAGCCACACUGGGACUGAGACACGGCCCAGACUCCUACGGGAGGCAGCAGUGGGGAAUUUUGGACAAUGGGCGAAAGCCUGAUCCAGCAAUGCCGCGUGUGCGAAGAAGGCCUUCGGGUUGUAAAGCACUUUUGUCAGGGAAGAAAACUGUUUGGCUAAUACCCGAAUAGAAUGACGGUACCUGAAGAAUAAGCACCGGCUAACUACGUGCCAGCCGCCGCAGUAA